UACGUAGGGUGCAGGCGUUACUCGGAAUUACUGGGCGUAAAGGGCUCGUAGGCGGCCAACUAAGUCAGACGUGAAAUCCCUCGGCUUAACCGGGGAACUGCAUCUGAUACUGGAUGGCUUGAGUUCGGGAGAGGGAUGCGGAAUUCCAGGUGUAGCGGUGAAAUGCGUAGAUAUCUGGAGGAACACCGGUGGCGAAGGCGGCAUCCUGGACCGACACUGACGCUGAGGAGCGAAAGCCAGGGGAGCAAACGGG
rnacentral:rRNA from 1 species